AAGUCGUAACAAGGUUUCCGUAGGUGAACCUGCGGAAGGAUCAUUAACACGAAUUCUUAUUCGUUUCCUUCUUUGACCACUUUUUCUUGUGUUGGUUUCAGUGUGUUGUCUUAUUUGAUGACAUGUGAAGCUGAUUUUUUCAAUUAUGUGUCUUUGUGAUUUGGUGAGAUGAGAGCAAUCUCGUUUCAUUUUGUCACAAAUUUACACCCUUUCUUAUUAAACACCUUUCAUACAAAAAACAAAAAAACAAUCACAACAAAACAAAAGAGUAAAAAACAAAAACAACUCUUAGCAACGGAUAUCUUGGUUCUC
rnacentral:misc_RNA from 1 species